UUGUUUGGAGAGUUUGAUCCUGGCUCAGGACGAACGCUGGCGGCGUGCUUAACACAUGCAAGUCGAGCGGAAAGGCCCUUCGGGGUACUCGAG
rnacentral:rRNA from 1 species